rnacentral:rRNA from 1 species
GACGAACGCUGGCGGCGUGCUUAACACAUGCAAGUCGAACGGAAAGGCCCUGCUUUUGUGGGGUGCUCGAGUGGCGAACGGGUGAGUAACACGUGAGUAACCUGCCCUUGACUUUGGGAUAACUUCAGGAAACUGGGGCUAAUACCGGAUAGGAGCUCCUGCUGCAUGGUGGGGGUUGGAAAGUUUCGGCGGUUGGGGAUGGACUCGCGGCUUAUCAGCUUGUUGGUGGGGUAGUGGCUGACCAAGGCUUUGACGGGUAGCCGGCCUGAGAGCGUGACCGGCCACAUUGGGACUGAGAUACGGCCCAGACUCCUACGGUAGGCAGCAGUGGGGAAUAUUGCACAAUGGGCGGAAGCCUGAUGCAGCAACGCCGCGUGCGGGAUGACGGCCUUCGGGUUGUAAACCGCUUUCGCCUGUGACGAAGCGUGAGUGACGGUAAUGGGUAAAGAAGCACCGGCUAACUACGUG